GAUGAACGCUAGCUACAGGCUUAACACAUGCAAGUCGAGGGGAAACGACAUCGAAAGCUUGCUUUUGAUGGGCGUCGACCGGCGCACGGGUGAGUAACGCGUAUCCAACCUGCCCAUCACUUGGGAAUAACCUUGCGAAAGUAAGACUAAUACCCAAUGACAUCCCACGAAGACAUCUGAAUGGGAUUAAAGAUUUAUCGGUGAUGGAUGGGGAUGCGUCUGAUUAGCUUGUUGGCGGGGUAACGGCCCACCAAGGCAACGAUCAGUAGGGGUUCUGAGAGGAAGGUACCCCACAUUGGAACUGAGACACGGUCCAAACUCCUACGGGGGGCAGCAGUGAGGAAUAUUGGGCAAUGGGCGAGAGCCUGAACCAGCCAAGUAGCGUGCAGGAUGACGGCCCUAUGGGUUGUAAACUGCUUUUAUAAGGGAAUAAAGUGGGUCUCGUGAGACUUUUUGCAUGUACCUUAUGAAUAAGGACCGGCUAAUUCCGUG
rnacentral:rRNA from 1 species